CGCGUAGGCGGCUCAUACAGUCAGGCGUGAAAUUCCUGGGCUCAACCUGGGGACUGCGCUUGAGACGUGUGGGCUUGAGUGGGGAAGAGGGUCGUGGAAUUCCCAGUGUAGAGGUGAAAUUCGUAGAUAUUGGGAAGAACACCGGUGGCGAAGGCGGCGACCUGGUCCUUGACUGACGCUGAGGCGCGAAAGCGUGGGGAGCAAACAGGAUUAGAUACCCUGGUAGUCCACGCCGUAAACGAUGUGCGCUGGAUGUUGGGCGGCCUAGCCGUUCAGUGUCGUAGCUAACGCGAUAAGCGCACCGCCUGGGGAGUACGGCCGCAAGGUUGAA
rnacentral:rRNA from 1 species